UCCAUAAUCUACAGGCCAACAUAAUUAUCUUAGAAUUGAUGGGCAAAUUGCCCCCGUAACUUCGGGAGAAGGGGGACCUCUGUUGGUGAUGGGCUUUACGCCUGGAGCUGGUGGGGGUCGCAGUGGCCAGGGGGAAGCGACUGUUUACUAAAAACACAGGUCCGUGCGAAGUCGUAAGACGAUGUAUACGGACUGACGCCUGCCCGGUGCCGGAACGUUAAGGGGACCGCUUAGCCGACGUGAGUUGGCGAAGGUGAGAACUUAAGCGCCGGUAAACGGCGGUGGUAACUAUAACCAUCCUAAGGUAGCGAAAUUCCUUGUCGGGUAAGUUCCGACCUGCACGAAUGGCGUAACGACUUCCCCGCUGUCUCAACCGCAGACCCGGCGAAAUUGCACUACGAGUAAAGAUGCUCGUUUCGCGCAGCAGGACGGAAAGACCCCGGGACCUUCACUACAGCUUGACAUUGGCGUUUGGAACGUCUUGUGUAGGAUAGGUGGGAGACUGGGAAGCUGUCACGCUAGUGAUGGUGGAGUCAUUGGUGAAAUACCACUCUGGUCGUUUUGAACGUCUAACUCUGGUCCGUGAUCCGGAUCGGGGACAGUGUCUGGUGGGUAGUUUAACUGGGGCGGUUGCCUCCUAAAGAGAACGGAGGCGCCCAAAGGUUCCCUCAGCCUGGUUGGCAAUCAGGUGUUGAGUGUAAGUGCACAAGGGAGCCUGACUGUGAGACUGACAGGUCGAGCAGGAGCGAAAGCUGGGACUAGUGAUCCGGCAUCGGCGUGUGGAAGCGGUGUCGCUCAACGGCUAAAAGGUACCCCGGGGAUAACAGGCUGAUCUUCCCCAAGAGUCCAUAUCGACGGGAUGGUUUGGCACCUCGAUGUCGGCUCGUCGCAUCCUGGGGCUGGAGUAGGUCCCAAGGGUUGGGCUGUUCGCCCAUUAAAGCGGUACGCGAGCUGGGUUUAGAACGUCGCGAGACAGUUCGGUCCCUAUCCGCUGCGCGCGCAGGAGACUUGAAGGGGGCUGUCCCUAGUACGAGAGGACCGGGACGGACGAACCUCUGGUGUGCCAGUUGUACCGCCAGGUGCACGGCUGGUUGGCUACGUUCGGAAGGGAUAACCGCUGAAAGCAUCUAAGCGGGAAGCUCGCCUUGAGAUGAGGUCUCCCACCACGAGAGUGGGUAAGGCUCCCGGUAGACGACCGGGUUGAUAGGCCGGAGGUGGAAGCACGGUAACGUGUGGAGCUGACCGGUACUAAUAGGCCGAGGACUUGACCAC
rnacentral:rRNA from 1 species